CGAUCUAAAAUAAACAUUGAGCGAGUGGUGGAACCUCUGAAUAAACACUGUUUUCAUAGUGAUUUAGGCAAACCCACGGACAACGAAUGCCACACAUUCACGCCUUAUGUUCUAUAGAUCAUUUAUGAAGCUUCGUGGAUAAAAUCGCAAGAACGAGAGUCCACUUUUGAGGAUAUUGUGUGAUUUUUCUCUGUCAGAUUUGACAUUUUCCCUCCUUUUACUGUAUUGUAUACGUGCAUGUUGUAUACAUCCACACUCCAGGUACACUACGUCUACAGUACACAGGGCCAGACCAGUGGACCAGCUGUUUCUCCCAUCACCAGUGACUUGCAGUGUGCGUGAUACUGCGAAGCCUGUAGUGUAGGCCUAGUCUGGUAGUAGUGUGUUGACUGCAGUGCUGUGCUUUCCUUUAGACCAGUAGAGACUGUCCCACUGCACUGUCGCCGACGCGCUGUGUGAGCCACUGAGGGACAUACAAUGGGGGCUUUAGGAUUUUUAUCUGUGAUAAUUGUUGUGCUGCUUCUCGACCAAAAUGAUGUGGAUGCGAAAUUCAUCAAGUCGUACACAAUGCCUAGCCUUGACUGUUCCCCAUCUAUACGGGAAAUAGAUGGCGCUGUCAUCUACAGUGCAAACAAACUCCAAAGUGGUGUCGCACAGGACACAAAAUGCGAGCUACGAUUCAGUAAUGCUGAUGGGACGUUACUGUCUAAGAAGAGGCUCGCUAUUAGGUUUGAGCAGGUCGAUAUCAAAGAUUGUCACGUGGAGUUAUGGCUAUUUGCUGGACGGUCGGCAAAUGCUAGGUUGUUGCAAAAGUUAGAUUGUAACAGUACGACGCCCACAGAAGUUUUUGAAUCUGGGGAAGCAGUGACAAUUGAGCUGAUCACAGGCAAUGCUGAUCCGGACAAGUAUCACUUCAGGUUCCUUGUCACAUCUUAUGAGAAAUCUGGUUUCUGUGAUGAGAUGACAUGCAAUAAUGGCCGCUGCAUCAGCAAGGAUCUGGCGUGUGACAGCUUCGACAGUUGUUUUGAUGGAAGUGACGAGCUGAAAGGACAGCCAUCUUACUGCAAAGCAAUAGUCAGUCCAGUUCUUCCACCACCUGGUGCAGAUACGGCGACAGUAGGCGCCAAAGGAAAAAAUGGCACGACCGUCCAGCACACGUACAUCAUCCCGUUCGAGAUGUGGCUGAUCGGCCUCAUAAUCAUCAUCAUCCUUCUCAUCAUCGCCAUUAUCAUCUGUAUCAUCUGCUGCAUACGGAGAUCAAAGGGACGAGACGGAUUUGGGCGGCCGACGUCGACUGGGACCACGUCUGCAGGGUAUCAAGAAUUAAAUUCCCAGAAAAGUGCAGCAGCAAAUCAACCCCUAGCUGGCCAAGCUGUUGGUUUUAAUAACAAAGUUUAUGAGCCAAAAUCUGUCGAAAACAAUCACGUCAUCGAGCCAAUGCUGACGGAUGUGAAACUAGACGACGAUGAAACGUUACCUGUAUGAAGCGGGAGAGGGGCCAUGAGGCCUCGGGGUAUCCCCACCUCAACCCCUUUGAAUCAGGUCUCGAAAAGAAGCCUCCAUCUUUCUAUGCUGACGGAGCGCCAUCUGCUCCUGAAUAUGCUCCCUAUUGAGGGUCCAGACUUCUGAGAGACAAAUCCCACCGUAAGAAACUUCAAGUUUGGAUUCCUGAUAAAUUCAUUCCGACCACCCAGUUUUCCUGCCAUCCACAGACAGACCAGCUCACCUCAUCUUUCUAGAACCAAUCACUGGAGGAGAAAAUACAAACUUGAACUUCCGUGGCUCUUCAGGAGGGUCCUCUCACUGCUCCACUCCCUGGAUACAUUCUUACAAUUCACUUGGAUUGUCGUGGAAUUCCAGUUUAGCAAACAGACUAUGAUAUCAUUUGAGAGACGUUUGUGUCAGCUUUGCUAAAGUGCGAGUGUACUGUCUUUUGAGAGAUAUCUCAUUCACUUUAAGACUGGGCAGUGAGAGGCAGUGUGAUUACAAUCAAGAUCAUGAGCUGGUGUCUGUGGCGGAAAUGUCAUUUAAGGGAAGAUGCGUGUAGGUUUUCAUAUUUUAGAGCAGAGGAAGGAUGGAGAACUUUGAAAAUAUUUUUUGUGUCAAAACAUUUUUUAUAAACUUUUGAGGAAAAAAAUUAUUUUUGGCACUAAGUCAAUAUAUGAAUAUUGUUACUGUAACAAUUGCACUACUGAAGCCAUAAAAUGGGCACAGACUUUGGUCACAGCUUGUGAUAAACUGAUAAAAUAUAGUCCCUCAGAAGGUACGGGCAGUGCAAUCUCUAUUAUAUUUUGUGUGUGCAUGUUUCAUGAAAUAUAACUGUCAAUGCAAUGGGCAUUGACACUGGGUGUGUGUAAAAGUGGAUCACGAAGAAGGUACAGCUGCAACAAAGGAUUAUGUUUAUAAUGUAAUUUGAAGCAGAAAAACGAGCCAUGAAAUCGAUCAGGUAUAGAAAAGUAGUUUUGUUGCCAAUUUUGAUCACAAAAAAGGUGCAAAUAAUCAGAACUGUGAAAAAAGUAGUAUUUUUGGGAAGUUUUUGUUUUAGUGCUCAUGCUCAACACUAGUGUUGAGCACUAGGCAUUCAUAUUUUAACCUCUAGGUAGAUCAAGUGUUGGGUAAAGGAUAGUUUCACAUCCCCAAGCAUAAAACAAGAAGUUAGUUGGAAUUCUAAUUUCAGCUUGAAGUAGGGUUUGCCCUGUGCCUGGAAUUCUUGUACCAUCACAGUGUCCAGCUGAGCGCCAGGCCCUUGGGCCUCUUGUCCCACAUGGCAUGUAUACAUGAUUUGAGUCAAUUCAAUGUGAGACAGAUGCCUAGAAUCCAUCCAUGUAUUAGCAUAUGUACUAUAUUCAUGUAUAGUAUACAGCCAUAUUGGGCCAACAUAGCUUGGACCAGACUGGUGGUUUUUUUCAUUGCCACUUCACAUGACAACAAAGGGCACUUGAAGAAUGCUUGUUUUAUAAUUGGUGAUUGGUGUUGGUCUCUGUGGCCUGCUAUUCUGAUUUGCCUGCUGUUCUGAUUUUUAACCACUUCACUACAAGAUGUUCAUGGUGUUUAAUAAUGAGUUCUGUUGUCAUAACGUUUCCUUUGAAAAUGGUAUUUCAUAUUCUUCCGGGCCGAAAACGACAGAAAAUUGAAGUGGGUUGGGGACCAAUUACCGGACUGUUUGGUCAAGUGGUGUUUUUACAGUACUUCCACACAGAAAUGAUGGUGGUGUAAGAUGGCGAAUGCGAUAUACUGUUUGGACUUGCUCCCAGCAUUUCAUGCUGUGUCAUGUCAUAAUUGCUUGGUACAUGUAUGUUUGCCAAAAGACGACCUGGCCUAAUUAGGCUAUUGGUCGAGAUGGUUUAAAUGAAAAUAAUGGCAUUUAUUAUAAGUAUGUGGAUCUAUUUGUCAGCUUAGUAUAAGUGUUGGCUGAAAAUUAUGUCAACUAACGUAUUGUUCUCUUUACUCCAAUAUUUGUGCAAUGCUUGAUAUGCCAGGACCAUGUUUGUCAGCAGUUGACUUAGUAAUUUAGGGACUUGUGUCAUGAACUUACACUGUCACUGGUGUGUUGUUGUAGAGUAUUGCAGUGAAGUACAUGGUCCACACUUGUGCUUGACUUCUUGAAAAACCAAGUUUUAUCAUGUGCAUUAACCCUUUGAGACCUUGGCUCUAAAGAGGUGGCUCCAUGUUCAUGCAUCUCACAGUUCUAUUGCCUUUUCUAGUCACUCUCAUAUAUUGAUCGUCAUAUCUAUAACUUUUAUGCUGAGACCUCUAUCGCAGAGCUUGCGUUGGGUGGACAUAUAGGCUAUUUUAAGUUGGGUACAUUUGCCUGUGCAGUUUGAUUUCACCUGUAAUGAUGAAUUACAUUACAACGGACAAAUUGCUACCUUGGGUAUCACGACAGAGGUCACAGCAUUCAUAUUUUAUGUGAGGUGAAUGUGAAUAUGUAUUUUACUAUCAUCUUGAGAAUUUCUAACCCGUAUUGUCCAUAUUUUAUACCACAGAUAUCUAUUGGUGUCAAGAAACAUUUUAUAGACUGGUACAACAUAAAAGGUUCAUUUUAUUUUAGGAUUAUAGAUUGGAAGACAACUGACCAAGUCUGCCAACUCAGACAGACUAGCUUUGUGAUGAACUUUACGACUAUUUGUCUAGAAAUCAUAGUUUAUUGGAACAAUUAAGCAGCAGAACUACACCUUCAGGCCUAAAAUCAUUCCAAUGCACUCGUUAGUUUGGUACCAAAUAAAGAAUUGUUUAAUUUAAACUUUAAAUCAGCAAAUUUUACGACCACUGUAAAACGUCAUUCAAAAAGUUUGACCAACUCCUAACUGAUUUUACAGUAGUUCUAAAAGUUGUUGAUAUGCACUUUUCAUUGUAUGUAAUCAUGUUGCAUUGGUAAUCUCUCAUGUUCGUUGGGACGAAAGGGACUCACUCUAUCUUUGUUUGAAAGAAUACUUGGUUUUAAAACAUAAAUAUACAUUUACAUUUUAAUGCUCGUACUUCUUUAUUACGUAUAGCUCACUCCUCUGUACCCUACAUACACUCAUUAUGUUGGCAUUGUAAAUUAAGUCUUGUGUUUGCUCAAUUUGUUUUUGAACAUCUUCUCAUACAUACAUGUAGAUCAUAUAAUGCAUAUUGCUUACAUAGCUCAUUGCAUCUUUUUGUGUUGAUUUGAAAUUCUGUUCGUAAGAAUGGGUGAUUACAGAUGGACCAUGAAAGACUUGUAAAAUAUUACUAGAUUGUGUUCACUUAUACAGUUUCACUUGACUGCAUAUUAACAUAGCAAUUCAUUAUUUCAAGGCCUUAGGCCCAGCCUGAGUAUAUUCAUUAGAUUUUUUCAUUCUGCUGAUCUCGUUUGCCAAAAAUGUUAUGCUUUUAAUGUAAUUAUGUGUACUUGUAUUGUAUUUAUGAACAGCUUUGGCAAAUUUUGUCUCGAAGUAUAUUCUAUCUUGGAUGACUAGCAAAUAAUUGUGUGUUUCAUCAUUGAAACAAGAAAACCUCUAAUAGGUUGUGGUGGCCAGUUUGAUAUGAUGACCUGAGAUGACUCAGAUGUGUGUAUUGGUUUGUGCAUGAAUAACUACUUCAUAGUAAUCUGGUUGUAAUCUAUGCCUGAAAGUCAACCCACCGAAACAACAGCUGCAAAUAUAGAACCCCUAUAACAGGCUAGUGGUAUUCAUUCAUUGUGCACAAUGGACACAUGUAUCUGAGCGCUCAGCCAUUACUCAUACUGGUACUGUCAGAUUAAUUUUUCCUGAGGGUUGUCAUACAAAUAUAGCUUCAGUUGGGUGACCAUUUGGUUCCACUGUGAAGAACAGUAUGUUACAUUUCUUUGCUCAGAAACAUUAUUUUGACCAAAUAUGGUUUAGUCUUGAAUGCUUUGCCGGAUUCCAUUGGGUGUCUCGCUGUGCUUUAUUCUUGUUGUCCUCAGUUAUGCCUGUACUUAUAUGUUCACUCCGAAAUAAAAAGAA